GAUGAACGCUGGCGGCGUGCCUAAUACAUGCAAGUCGAGCGAACAGACGAGGAGCUUGCUCCUCUGACGUUAGCGGCUGACGGGUGAGUAACACGUGGAUAACCUACCUAUAAGACUGGGAUAACUUCGGGAAACCGGAGCUAAUACCGGAUAAUAUAUUGAACCGCAUGGUUCAAUAGUGAAAGACGGUUUUGCUGUCACUUAUAGAUGGAUCCGCGCCGGAUUAGCUAGUUGGUAAGGUAACGGCUUACCAAGGCAACGAUGCGUAGCCGACCUGAGAGGGUGAUCAGCCACACUGGAACUGAGACACGGUCCAGACUCCUACGGGAGGCAGCAGUAGGGAAUCUUCCGCAAUGGGCGAAAGCCUGACGGAGCAACGCCGCGUGAGUGAUGAAGGUCUUCGGAUCGUAAAACUCUGUUAUUAGGGAAGAACAAAUGUGUAAGUAACUAUGCACGUCUUGACGGUACCUAAUCAGAAAGCCCCGGCUAACUACGUG
rnacentral:rRNA from 1 species